rnacentral:lncRNA from 1 species
AAAGAAAUAUUAUUAAGAUCGAGAAGAGAAAAUGUACAGGAUAUAUUAGUCUAAUCUUAUUUGGGAAGGGUUACUUAGGAAGCAUUAUAAAUAUCGUUGAGAGACUUUGGUUAUUCAAAGAAAUAUUUGAAAGUUUCUUAAUUUUAUGAUUGUAUGAUGCAAUCAAAACUUUGUGUGAAAAACCUGAUACUCGAGGAUUUUCUUUUUUUCUGCAAUUCU